rnacentral:rRNA from 1 species
AGCGAACGCUGGCGGCAGGCCUAACACAUGCAAGUCGAACGAACCUUUCGGGGUUAGUGGCGGACGGGUGAGUAACACGUGGGAACGUGCCUUUAGGUUCGGAAUAACUCAGGGAAACUUGUGCUAAUACCGAAUGUGCCCUUCGGGGGAAAGAUUAAUCGCCUUUAGAGCGGCCCGCGUCUGAUUAGCUAGUUGGUUGAGGUAAUGGCUCACCAAGGCGACGAUCAGUAGCUGGUCUGAGAGGAUGAUCAGCCACAUUGGGACUGAGACACGGCCCAAACUCCUACGGGAGGCAGCAGUGGGGAAUCUUGCGCAAUGGGCGAAAGCCUGACGCAACCAUGCCGCGUGAAUGAUGAAGGUCUUAGGAUUGUAAAAUUCUUUCACCGGGGACGAUAAUGACGGUACCCGGAGAAGAAGCCCCGGCUAACUUCGUG